CUCAUUAAAUCAGUUCUAGUUUAUUUGAUGGUACCUUACUACUCGGAUAACCGUAGUAAUUCUAGAGCUGAUACGUGCGUAAAUCCCGACUUCGGAAGGGACGUAUUUAUUAGAUUAAAGGCCAACCCUUCGGGACUGUUGGUGACUCAUAAUAACUGGACGAAUCGCAUGGCCUCGCGCCGGCGAUGUUUCAUUCAAAUUUCUGCCCUAUCACGUUUCGAUGGUAGUAUAGAGGACUACCAUGCGAGUAACGGGUGACGGAGAAUUAGGGUUCGAUUCCGGAGAGGGAGCCUGAGAAACAGCUACCACAUCCAAGGAAGGCAGCAGGCGCGCAAAUUACCCAAUCCUGACACUGGUAGGUAGUGACAAAAAAUAACAAUAUCGGGCUUUUCAAGUCUGAUAAUUGGAAUGAGAACCAUCUACAUCCCUUAUCGAGGAUCAAUUGGAGGGCAAGUCUGGUGCCAGCAGCCGCGGUAAUUCCAGCCCCAAUAGCGUAUAUUUAAGUUGUUGCAGUUAAAAAGCUCGU
rnacentral:rRNA from 1 species